CCAGUAUAUGUGGAGGCAGAUGUCAGCAGUGCAGUAUAGAAAAGAUUGUGACUGAAAGACGUGUGAUGAUGGUGUAGAGUAGGUGGCACUGAGCUGUGAUGAUGGUGUGGGGUAGGUGGCACUGAGCUGUGAUGGUGUGGGGUAGGUCGCACUGAGUUGUGAUGAUGGUGUGGAGUAGGUGGCACUGAGUUGUGAUGAUGAUGUUGUGGAGUAGGUAGCACUGAGCUGUGAUGAUGGUGUGGGGUAGGUCGCACUGAGCUGUGAUGAUGGUGUGGAGUAGGUGGCACUGAGUUGUGAUGAUGGUGUGGAGUAGGUCGCACUGAGCUGUGAUGGU